rnacentral:rRNA from 1 species
UGAGGAACAUGACCUUCGGCGGGGGAUAGCCGGCCCAACGGCCGGGUAAUACCGCGUACGACCACAUGGGGACAUCCCUGAGUGGUGAAAGCAGCAAUGCGCCGAUGGAGUGCCUCGCGGCCUAUCAGCUAGUUUGUGAGGUAACGGCUCACCAAGGCAACGACGGGUAGCUGGUCUGAGAGGAUGGCCAGCCACAUUGGGACUGAGACACGGCCCAGACCUCUACGGGAG